UAACACAUCUCACAGAGAAGAAGAAGAAGAAGAAGAAAAAGAAAGACAGUUGUUUGAGUUGUCUCCUUUUUUCCGUUAUUCAAAUGUAGUAUUCGCAGAAUCAUCCACACUCUGUUUCAGUUAAAUCUAUGUCACAUAUAGAUACGUAUACGGUAUAUCUACGCAUGUGUACCGGUGGAUUGUAGACACAGACUGUGAGGUUAAACAUCGGAGUUCCGAUGACGACGAAUUAUAGCACGUCCCGGAGUCCGGGGAGCUCGAAGUUUCAGUUGGGCGGGAGUGCGAGUCUAGCAUCCAGGCUGAGAUCGUCGUCGUUGAAGAAGCCGCCGGAGCCGCUGCGCCGAGCUGUCGCGGAUUCUCUCUCGGCUUCCACGCCGGCAAACCAUGGGACCAUCUCCUCGGCCGCUGCGACCGAAACGUCGCGGACUCUCCGGGAUUACUUGGCAGCAUAUCAAACAACUGAUUUGGCUUAUGGUGUAAUUUUAGAUCAUACCCUAGCCGAACGUGAACGCAGCCCUGCGGUGGUAGCAAAAUCUGUGGCACUUUUGAAACGAUAUCUUUUAAGGUAUAAACCAAGUGAAGAGACACUGCUACAGAUUGAUCGGUUCUGUUUAAGCAUAAUUGCUGAAUGUGAUAUGACUACAAAUCGAAAACUGGCACCAUUAUCACGCCCAUUAAGUCAACAAAGUGGUGCAUCAGCAGCAUCUACCACUGUAUCUCCUUUACCAGUGUCAAGUUUUGCCUCAGCUGGACUUGUGAAGUCCUUAAGUUAUGUCCGUUCUCUAGUGUCUCAAAAUAUCCCAAAGCGGUCAUUUCAAACAGCAGCUUUUGCUGGAGCACCUUUGGCAUCAAGGCAAGCACUUCCAUCGCUGUCAUCUUUAUUGAGAAAAUCCUUCAAUUCCCAACUAAACCCUUCAAAUGUUAAAGAAUCUCCAAAGAAUAAAGAAAUUUCUACUGUAUCUGCGUCUGAUUCACCAAUUCUCGAAGAAGUUGAUACCCUGGAAGAUCACGAUUUCAUGGCAGUUGAUGUAUUUAAGUGGCGCUGGUGCAGAGACCAACAACUGUCAUCAACUUUGCCUAAUAGUGACCAAAUUUUGAAUCCCAAAGAUGUUGGUGCUCAUAAUUUCCUAGAAGUAGGCGCUGCAGCUCUGCUUGUAGGGGACAUGGAAGCCAAAAUGAAGGGUGAGCCUUGGAGAAUCUUUGGCAGUGCUGAAAUGCCUUACCUAGAUCAACUAUUGCAACCAUCUUUGCUGACUACUGUCACAAAUUCUGCCUCUGCUCGUGCACACUUAAGAGCAAUUACAGCACUAAAGCGCUCUAAAGCAGGGCCUAAUCAAAUAUGGGAGGAUUCUCCAGUGAGCACCUUCCGUCCUCGUGCUAAGCCACUCUUCCAGUAUCGACACUACAGUGAACAACAACCGUUGCGACUAAAUCCUGCAGAGGUGUGUGAAGUUAUAGCUGCUGUUUGCUCAGAGAUUCCUGCUACCGGCUCAUCUAAAUUAAGUAACAACAGUGGGAAGCCAUCAAUAGAUGUAGCUGCUAGUGUUCUUGUAAAACUUGUAAUUGAUAUGUAUGUUUUAGAUUCUGAGCUUGCUGCUCCUCUUACUCUAUCAAUGCUUGAGGAAAUGAUCAAUGCUCCUCGGUUGGCAUCAAAAGCUAGGGCUUUUGAUUUAAUUCUUAAUCUUGGAAUUCAUGCUCACUUAUUGGAGCCUCCAGCAGCUGAUGAGGCUUCCACAAUUGCGGAAGAAUAUUCUGAAGAAGCAUAUUUUGACUGCGAAACUCAAUUUUCUCCAGAAAGGAAAAAAUCAACAGGAAAUUCUUCGGCUAUCGAUAAAUUUGAGUGUUGGAUUUUAGGCAUUCUUUAUGAGGUUCUUCUUCAUCUUGUUCAGAUGGAAGAGAGCGAAGAGUCUGUAUGGGCUUCUGCCCUCAGUUGUUUACUUUAUUUUGUGUGUGAUAGAGGCAGAAUACGGAGAAGUAGACUUAGAGGCCUUGACAUAAGGGUUGUUAAGGUACUCAUACAAGUUAGCACUAAAAACUCAUGGGCAGAAGUAGUUCAUUCCAAGCUUAUUGGCAUGUUAACAAAUAUGUUCUAUGAAAUUCACGAAGAGUCUGAUAAAGCUCUUUCAGCUAUACCUGUUUUUCUUGUUCAGCAAGUUGAUCUGAUUGGAGGAAUGGAAUUCAUAUUUGUGGAGUUAAUGCUGUCAAACUCCAGGGAAGAGAGAAGGAACCUAUACCUGGUUCUUUUUGAUUACGUUGUGCAUCAAAUUAAUGAGGCAUGCAUAGUGGCUGGAAUUUCUGAAUAUAGUGAUGAUGAAGUUCAGCCUAUUGCAACACUGCUUAUGCUUGCAGAUGCACCUGAAGCCUUACACAUUUCAAUCAAACUCGGGGUGGAAGGUAUUUUGGAGCUUUUGCGAAGAUCUAUAUAUACUCCACUAUCAAGAUAUCCUAGUAGUGAUCGGCUUAUUACGUUCUUGGAAAAAAUUGUUGAGAAACUUGAGGUGCUUAUAAAGUCAUUUACACAUCUAGACAAAGAGUUUGCUCAUUCAAGACAAAUAACUAAAUCUCUCAAAACUUUGAAAAGCAUCGAUGAAGUUUUACUUAUCACAAAGGGCAUUGAUGGAGUUUCUGGAAACAGUAUUCACAUGAAGGCGAAGCUCUCUUGGGCUACUUUACAUUCUCUUCUUCAUUCAGAGAGACAAGCUUGUCGACAUAAUGGCUAUCUAUGGUUGGGUGAUCUACUGAUUGCAGAAAUUACUGAGUCAAGGGAUGCGAGCAUAUGGUCAAGCAUCAGAAAGUUGCAGCAGAAAAUUAAUUCCCUUGCUAAAGUUAAUGACUAUUCACCAGAUUUAGAUAUCCCCUUAUCCAUUUGGCUCAUGUUUGGGAUGCUAAAGUCAAAAAAUAACCUUAUUAGAUUGGGAUUCCUAUUUGUUCUGGAGAGGCUUCUUAUGCGAUGUAAAUUUUUGUUGGAUGAGAGUGAAGUCCAACAUGUGAUUAGUGGUGAAGCUGUUGGAAAUACACAUGACAAGAGUCGCCUUGAGAAAGCAAAUGCAGUUAUAGAUAUUAUGAGUAGUGCAUUGUCCCUGAUGGCCCAGUUAAAUGAAACUGACUGCUUGAAUAUAUUAAAGAUGUGUGAAAUCCUGCUGUCUCAAUUGUGCCUUAAAGUUUCGUCAAAUGCUACAACAUCUGGUGCUAAAGACACUGGCUGGAACAAGAAGGGUGAUACUGGGGAACUUCUGUCUCAGUAUCUAGAGGAACCUUUCAGAGAAACAAGUACCAAACAUGGCAAAAGUAAAGACCCUCCAAUAUGUGAAACUGCGUCCAUGGCAGCACUGCUUCUUCAUGGACAAGCAAUUGCUCCUAUGCAAUUGGUUGCACGAGUUCCUACUGAUUUGUUUUACUGGCCAUUGAUCCAACUAGCCGGUGCGGCAACAGACAAUAUUGCAUUAGGGGUAUCUGUUGGUAGCAAAGGAAGAGGAAAUGUUCCUGGUGCCACUUCAGACAUAAGAGCUACCCUGUUAUUACUUUUAAUCGGUAAAUGCACUGAUGAUCCCGCAGCUUUUGAAGAUGUUGGCGGGGAGCCAUUCUUUAGGGCAUUACUGGACGAUAUAGAUUCAAGAGUUGCAUAUUACUCCUCUACUUUCCUUCUAAAGAGGAGGAUGUCAGAAGAACCUGAAAGUUACCAGCGUUUGCUACAUAAUCUUGUUUCAAAGGCUCAGCAGAGCAACAACGAAAAACUGUUAGAGAAUCCUUACCUCCAGAUGCGAGGCAUACUGCAGCUAUCAAGUGACUAAUCCUAUACUCUUUUCCCAACCUCAACAAUCUGCCAACUGAAGAAUCUCGAUGUAUUUCAGUCAUAGUGAUAGCAAAAGCAUAACAGAUCUCAUGCUACACAUGAUUAAGCACAAUGCAGCUUUUCUGGAAAAAAUUUUAGAAAUUCAACUUCUAACCCAAUUGUGUGUACACCAAAGGACACAGUUAAGAAACUCCAUAUUCACCCCAAGUUCGAGGGCUUAUGACAUAUUUCAAGAGUUUGUUGGCCAAAAUUAUGAUAGAGAUGUUGUUUGACCUUCCAAUGGAAGCUUAACAUCGAGGCAUCUUCAGGAGCAGGUAACUGUAUACCAACUUUUAGGACGAUAGUGAAUCUUGUACAGGAAAAAUCAUCGGGCAUCCAUAUUUUUCCCCGCAAAGGAUGAAGGCGAUGGUGUUUCUGGAACGUGCUUAGUAAGUCGCUUAUGAAAGUUUUACUCAUCAAUCAAUGCAACUAAAGUCUAAAGACAGCCAUUAGAGUGUGUUUGUAUGCUUUUGUAUUUGUCGGUAGUUUUUUUUUUUUUUUUGUGGUGAAAAUUUUGCAAGGGUCCAUUACUAGUGUGGUAAAUAGUCUUUUUUUCCCAUAUUUUUUAAUGCGUGAAAUUUUGUUUUCUGUGUUUGAUGGGGAUUCAUCCCCCAUAGGUAUGUUGUAAAUUUUUUGACAUGUAAAUUAUUCAAGUAAUUUAUAAGUUACUAAAUAGGCAUCAUGGGACUUGUGUUUUUAUUAA